ensembl:lncRNA
GUCCGUGGCGGCCUGACGAAUUUCGAUGAUUCGCCAUGAAAAAUUAAGUUGCUAUAACUCAGACAUACAAUGUCCAAUCUGCCACAAACUUCACAUGUUUGAUAAGACUCCUGACCUGAACAGAUUGAUAUGCCCAUAUUCAGUUAUAGUCAUAGCGCCACCUACUGGCAACAGGAAGUGACAUAUUUUACGCUGUAACAAACUACCCUGAGAAAUUUUAUGACAUCAAUUGUUUUUUUUCAGUCACUCUAUUCUAAAGGCCUGUGCGAUGUUAAAUUGUGAAGAUCUUGAGAGUUCGUUAAAGUACAACCCCUGAAAAUGGCAAAAACGACACAAAUUUUGCAGAGAAAAUUCUAAAUAACUGACUUCCUGUUGGGAUUCGAAUUUCGUACCAAGAGACUUUUUUGUAGGUAUUGGUGUGUUACAUGUGUGUACCGAUUUUUGUACAUGUACGUGAAACGUAGCUCGAGGCGCACUCCGUUGAAAGUGUAUAGGUGGCGCUAUCGAGGCAUUUUGCCACACCCAAUGGAAUAUUGGCCUUCAGAUGUGUUCAGGCCAGGACACUUAUCGAACAUGUGAAGUUUGGGCAAGAUCGGACAUUUUAUGCCUGAGUUACAAUAACUUUUAUUCCCAUGGCGAGACAUCGAACUUUGUGACCGCGCCAUGGACACGCCCUUUAACGAAAACUCAAGAUCUUC